UACAACGAAGAGUUUGAUCCUGGCUCAGGAUGAACGCUAGCGGCAGGCCUUAUACAUGCAAGUCGAGGGGCAGCAUAGAUUGCUUGCAAUCUGAUGGCGACCGGCGAACGGGUGCGUAACGCGUAUGCAACCUACCUAUUACAGGGAGAUAGCCAAAAGAAAUUUUGAAUAAUAUCCCAUAAGAUCAUUUUACUGC
rnacentral:rRNA from 1 species